GUGGACACUUCACACCCUUUCACAUCCCAAGAUCUUUUGCGCACGCAACUCUGAAAAUUGUUUUCAACAUGGCAGCGCUAUGCGGAGCGGAAAGAGCGACUUUAAAAUUGGCCCUGCGAUGAAGUGGCGACUUGUCCAGAGUGUACACCGCCUUCCGCCUGAAUGCAGCUGAGAUAGGCUCCAGCGACCCCCUAGACCCCGAAAGGGACAAGCGGUAGAAAAUGGAUGGAACUCUACAAAUCUACAAAUAUCCAAUUCUUCUUUGUUUGCUGAUAACCAAUAGCAUUGGCUUCAUUGUUUCAAACAGUGUGCCAGCAGGACUAAGGAAGCAAGCAAACUGAAUAAAAGAUUGUAGAAGAACAUCAAUGACAAGUUGAUGGAUACCACAGUGCCGGGCAUUGACUCCAUCGAGUUUGCAGUCAAAGGCCCAAUGAGACUCUGCUUGAUGACCCCCACCCCCCACAUGUGAGACGCUCAAA